rnacentral:rRNA from 1 species
AUUGAACGCUGGGCGGUAGGCUUAACACAUGCAAGUCGAGCGGUAACAGGAGUAGCUUGCUACUCGCUGACGAGCGGCGGACGGGUGAGUAACGCGUAGGAAUCUACCUGAUACUGAGGGAUAGCCUUUGGAAACGAAGAUUAAUACCUCAUAGUAUCAUUUAACGGCAUCGUUUAGUGAUUAAAGGUUACGGUAUGAGAUGACUAUGCGUCCUAUUAGUUAGUUGGUAAGGUAACGGCUUACCAAGACUACGAUAGGUAGGGGCCCUGAGAGGGGGAUCCCCCCACACUGGUACUGAGACACGGACCAG